rnacentral:rRNA from 1 species
UACCGGCGGCUCGAGUGGUGGCCGCUUUUACUGGGCUUAAAGGGUCCGUAGCUUGAUUCAUGGGUCCCUUGAGAAAUCCAUCGGCUUAACUGAUGGGCGUUCAGGGGAAACUGUGAUUCUAGGGACCGGGAGAGGUGAGAGGUACUGCCGGGGUAGGAGUGAAAUCCUGUAAUCCCGGUGGGACGACCUAUGGCGAAGGCAUCUCACCAGAACGGCUCCGACAGUGAGGGACGAAAGCUGGGGGAGCAAACCGG